CCUAUUCACCAUCCUACCCUUUGAGAGCGGCAAAGAGAAACACACUCCCGCCAAAUAUCAAUCGCAUCCCGUUUAUACCUCAUGGCAGUUGACAAGAUUACCAAUAUUGUUCAUCUCAAUGGUUGCCCUGUAAACAUACUGCCAUCAAGAUGCAAAAAUCUCCUAGUCAUGACUCCUCAAGGCCAAGGUGGGAAAACAUGGUUGAAUCGCCUAUCAUCGAGCAAGAAUCAUCUAAAUUUAGGUUGAAGUUGAGAUAUAUAUGGAGGCUUCUUUCGGUUUGCCAAGAACUCUUACAGGAAAAAGUAUUGCUUUGGAUAUCAAUAAUGUAUCUACAUGGAUACAUACACAUACAACUUUAAUCAACUGAAUGAAGAGGUUAUAAAGCAUUAUUCAUCAAGGAGUGAUCUUGUUUUCUCGAUUGUUUUUGUUGACAAGACUGCCAGAGUGCAAACCUUUAUUGAGCUUGAUUCAGAUGAGAAGUUCGUGGAAAUGCUUACCAUGUAUGCGAAUGAAAAAGAAGUAUGCAUUUACGUGACAACAGAUAAGAAUACUUUUGGCACUAGUAACAUGCAACAAAGGGAACAAGAUGAAAUUGUUGAUGAACUCCAUGAUGAAGAUAAUUCAGACUCUUGUCC